GUGCUUUGGCAGCACAUAUACUAAAAUUGGAAUAAUACAGAGAAGACCAGCAUAGCCCUGCUGCAAGAAUGACAUGUAAAUUUAUAAAAAACAUUCCAUAUUU